rnacentral:lncRNA from 1 species
UACACUUUCCAUAACAAACUAGCUGUAUUGCAGCAAUGGAGAAUAGAUUUCAAGUUUGAUCCGGGUAAUAUAAGUGUGAUUCCAUUGUGGAACACUUUCCCUGGCUUACCUUUGGGUUUCUGGUCAACUGAAGCUUUAAGUAAGUUAUCUAGUGUGGUUGGAAAGCCUUUGUAUACUGAUAAGUUUACAACAGAACUAGAGAAAGUGUCCUAUGCCAAAGUGUUGGUUGAAACUGAUAUAUCCAAG